rnacentral:rRNA from 1 species
GCGAAAGCAAGUUAGGGCGUCUGGUGGAUGCCUUGGCUCUCGGAGGCGAUGAAGGACGUGAUAAGCUGCGAUAAGCGCGGGGUAGGUGCAAAUGACCCUUGAUCCCGCGAUUUCCGAAUGGGACAACCCAGCAGUCUGAAGGACUGUUAUCACCACGUUGCUGUGGUGAGGCGAACGCAGGGAACUGAAACAUCUUAGUACCUGCAGGAAGAGAAAAUAACUGAAUGAUUCCCCCAGUAGUGGCGAGCGAACGGGGAAGAGCCCAAACCGUCUGUGUGGCGACGCGCAGNUGAUAAGCUGCGAUAAGCGCGGGGUAGGUGCAAAUGACCCUUGAUCCCGCGAUUUCCGAAUGGGACAACCCAGCAGUCUGAAGGACUGUUAUCAUCACGCUGUGUGAUGAGGCGAACCGGGGGAACUGAAACAUCUUAGUACCCCGAGGAAGAGAAAAUAAACGAAUGAUUCCCCCAGUAGUGGCGAGCGAACGGGGAAGAGCCCAAACCGUCUGUGUGGCGACGCACAGCCGGGGUUGUAGGACCGCGCCGUGGCACUUGUUUUGUGAGCAGAAUGAUCUGGAAAGUUCAACCUUAGAGGAUGACAGUUCCGUAUGCGAAGCGAGACGAGGCCUAGCGGUAUCCUGAGUAACGCGGAGCACGAGUAAUUCUGCGCGAAUCCGCCGGGACCAUCCGGCAAGGCUAAAUACUCCCGGGAGACCGAUAGCGAACCAGUACCGUGAGGGAAAGGUGAAAAGCACCCCUAUUAGGGGAGUGAAACAGUCCCUGAAACCAGACGCCUUCAAGCGGUCGGAGCAUCUUUUUGAUGUGACGGCGUGCCUUUUGCAUAAUGAACCUACGAGUUACCAUGUCCGGCGAGGUUAAGUCUCUCUGAGACGCAACCGCAGUGAAAGCGAGGCUGAACAGGCCGUGAUGAGUCGGAUGGGGUAGACGCGAAACCGAGUGAUCUACACAUGGCCAGGGUGAAGUCCCGGUAACACGGGAUGGAGGCCCGCACCAAUAAGCGUUGAAAAGCUUCUGGAUGAGUUGUGUGUAGGAGUGAAAGGCCAAUCAAACUCGGAGAUAGCUCGUACUCCCCGAAAGGCAUUUAGGUGCCGCGUGCUGUGUUCACCCUGUGAGGUAGAGCGACCGAUAGGUCAAGAGGGCUUCACCGCCUAUCGCGACCUGACGAACUCCGAAUGCUCAGGGUAUGUAGCAGUGCAGUAAGGGUGCGGGUGCUAAGGUCCGUGCCCGAGAGGAGAAGAAUCCAGACCGCCGUCUAAGGUCCCGGAGUUCUGCCUGAGUUAGUCUAACGAAGUCUGGUCUCGAUGACAGCUAGGAUGUUGGCUUGGAAGCAGCCAUUCAUUCAAAGAGUGCGUAACAGCUCACUAGUCGAGAGACCGUGCGUGGAUAAUAAUCGGGUAUAAGGCAGACACCGAAGGCGCGGGAUAGCAUAUUUAGAAAGUAUCGGUAGGGGAGCAUUCCAUCUGCGUUGAAGCCGCGGGACGACCCGCGGUGGAGCGUAUGGAAAAGCAAAUGUAGGUAUAAGUAACGAUAAGGAGGGUGAGAUACCCUCCCGCCGAAAGACUAAGGUUUCCCGGGCGAUGUUGUUCAGCCCGGGGUGAGUCGGGUCCUAAGCAUAAGCCGAACGGCGAGUGCGAUGGCUGACACGGUUAAUAUUCCGUGACUUCCAUCAUGGGCGACGUGGUGACGGAGCAGUGACACUGCCGCCUGCUGACGGAACAGCAGGUUGAAGGGUGUAGGCUAUGAGGCGCGCAGGCAAAUCCACGCGCCGAGCUGAAACCUGAGAGUACGGCACUCUCUUCGGAGAGAGCCGAUAGCGCAGGUAACCAUACUCCCGAGAAAAACCGCUAAGCUUAACCAUGACGGAACCCGUACCGCAAACGGACACACGUAGUCAUGUAGAACAUACUGAGGCGUUGAGAGAGCUCAGCCUUUGGGUGAAGGCCUGAAUUGAAGCCCCGGUAAACGGCGGCCGUAACUAUAACGGUCCUAAGGUAGCGAAAUUCCUUGUCGGGUAAGUUCCGACCUGCACGAAUGGUGUAAUGAUCCGGACGCUGUCUCAGCCGCGAGCUCAGUGAAAUUGUAGUAUCGGUGAAGAUGCCGAUUACCCGCGAUGGGACGAAAAGACCCCGUGAACCUUUACUACAGCUUAGCGCUGCGUCCGGGCAUCGGAUGUGUAGGAUAGGCCGGAGGCUUAGAAGCUGGCACGCCAGUGCUGGUGGAGCCGCCGUUGAAAUACGGCCCUUCCGCUGUCUGGACGCUAAAGUAUCGGUGAAGAUGCCGAUUACCCGCGAUGGGACGAAAAGACCCCGUGAACCUUUACUGCAGCUUAGCACUGGACUUGGGCAUCGGAUGUGUAGGAUAGGCCGGAGGCUUUGAAGCAGGUACGCCAGUACUUGUGGAGCCGUCCUUGAAAUACGGCCCUUCUGCUGUCUGAGUCCUAACAGGUGGUAUAUCUGGACACUGCUUGGUGGGCAGUUUGACUGGGGUGGUCGCCUCCAAAAGCGUAACGGAGGCUUCCAAAGGUGCCCUCGGGCCGAUUGGUAACCGGCCUUACAGAGUGCAAUGGCAUAAGGGCGCUUGACUGGGAGGGAGACAUCCCGAGCAGGCAGGAAACUGGGGCAUAGUGAUCCGGCGGAUGCGUAUGGAAGCUCCGUCGCUCAAAGGAUAAAAGGUACUCCGGGGAUAACAGGCUGAUCCCCCCCAAGAGCUCAUAUCGACGGGGUGGUUUGGCACCUCGAUGUCGGCUCGUCACAUCCUGGGGCUGGAGAAGGUCCCAAGGGUUGGGCUGUUCGCCCAUUAAAGUGGCACGCGAGCUGGGUUCAGAACGUCGUGAGACAGUUCGGUCUCUAUCUAUCGUGGGCGCAGGAGUCUUGAGUGGGCCGGCCACUAGUACGAGAGGACCGUGGUUGACAGACCUCCGGUUUACCGGUUGUGCCGCCAGGUGCACCGCCGGGUAUCCGCGUCUGGUCGGGAUAAGCGCUGAAAGCAUCUAAGCGCGAAGCCUGCCGCAAGAUGAGGGCUCCAUUGAGGGUCGUCGCAGACUACGACGUUGAUAGGGUGCAGGUGUAAAGACGGUGACGUCAAAGCCGAGCACUACUAAUUGCCCGAUAGCUUUCGCAC